UUUUUGGAAGUUAAAAAAUCGUAACAAGGUCUCCGUAGGUGAACCUGCGGAGGGAUCAUUACACAAAUAUGAAGGCGGGCUGGAACCUCUCGGGGUUACAGCCUUGCUGAAUUAUUCACCCUUGUCUUUUGCGUACUUCUUGUUUCCUUGGUGGGUUCGCCCACCACUAGGACAAACAUAAACCUUUUGUAAUUGCAAUCAGCGUCAGUAACAAAUUAAUAAUUACAACUUUCAACAACGGAUCUCUUGGUUCUGGCAUCGAUGAAGAACGCAGCGAAAUGCGAUAAGUAGUGUGAAUUGCAGAAUUCAGUGAAUCAUCGAAUCUUUGAACGCACAUUGCGCCCUUUGGUAUUCCAAAGGGCAUGCCUGUUCGAGCGUCAUUUGUACCCUCAAGCUUUGCUUGGUGUUGGGCGUCUUGUCUCUAGCUUUGCUGGAGACUCGCCUUAAAGUAAUUGGCAGCCGGCCUACUGGUUUCGGAGCGCAGCACAAGUCGCACUCUCUAUCAGCAAAGGUCUAGCAUCCAUUAAGCCUUUUUCAACUUUGACCUCGGAUCAGUAGGUCCCCG
rnacentral:rRNA from 1 species